CACCCUCCUCCCACCCACGCCCACGGAAGUGCAAGCGACUACGCGGAGCAUCUGGACUACACUUCCUAGAAUACCAAGGAAAACCAUCGGGAGUCUCACCUUCCAGGUAGACGUGUUGGGGGCGCAGGAAGUUUCUUGCCUCCACUUCCCAGGAUGCCAGGGCGGAAAGAAUCCCACAGUCCCGACUUCCGUGGUGGUAGUAAGAGUCUGCUCCUGAGUCGUCCCGCGAAGGAAAGCAUCAGAGACAGAAAAAAUUAAGCCAUUCACCCAGUGUUCUACUGAGGGAGACAAAGAAGGUGCGCCCUCAAGGCGAGAGCCCUGGAGACCGUCCAAGGCCAGGUACAAUCCUCCCACCCCUCAGCCUCUGCCCAAAGGAACCACUGCCCACGACCCAGCCUUCAAGCCAUCGCUCUCUGACGCAGCGCUUCCACACAAAAUUAAUGGCUGGGUUAGAUCGCUAACCGGGGAAGUUGGGAAGAGUCGCAAAACGCGAAAGCAACUCACCACAGCCAAAGAAAAGGCGAGAACCAAACCACCCGGAAGGGAAGUGACUGAAACCCCGCCCCCAGGCUACGAUAGGGAUAUCCUUCCCAGAAUUCCCUUGUCGCUGCUGCGCCUGUACGGAAGUGUAAGAGUCGCCACAGAACUGUGGACUACAUUUCCCAGAAAACCAGAGGAGAACACAGCCCGAGUUCCCAUCCUUCUCCACCGGAAGUACUGGAGACGCUUCGGAGACGUUGGACUGCAGUUCCCACAAUACCCUUAGGGACGAAGUUUCUAUUGUGGAGCUCCUGAGCAGUAAGAUGGUUUCCUACUGGGGGCUAGUGGGAAGUCUGAUAUAUUAGGAGAGUUUCCUUUGUGGCUCAGUGGUUAAUGAAUCUGACUAGGAACCAUGAGGAUGUGGGUUUGAUUCCUGGUAUCUCUCCGUAGGUUAAGGAUCGGGCAUUGCCUGUGAGUUGUGGUGUAAGUGGUAGACACAGCUCGGAGCUUCGGCUGCGACCCUAAAAGUAUAUAUUGUAUGUUGUUUAAGCCACUACUUGUUUUGUGCCUAUUGGAACACAAACCCAGUUAAUAUAUUAUUGGAAAAUUUAUUUCAGACUCCAGUGGUGAACUUAAGAUUCUCUGAAGAAUGCACAAGAGAUGAAGGCUCAGGGAGCUGCACUAUUGGAAAUCUACGUAGCAGAACUGUUGGUCAAAACAUUUUAGUUUAAAACCGUAUUACAACACAGUUUUCUCAUGGUGUAAUGGGUUAAGGAUCUGUCGUUAGUCACUGCAGGGGCUUGGGUCGCUGCUGUGGUGUGGUUUCAAUCCCUGGCCCUGGGAACUUGGCGGGGGGGGCACAACCAAAAAAAAAAAAAACUAAAAAUUACUUACAAGGGUGAAUAUUAAGUUAUGUGAAUUAUAUAUGAUUAAAAAAAAAAAGAGAUUGGGCUGUUUGAGGCUAUUUCCUAUUCACACAUUAUUACGGACCAAAUUGAGUCCUCCAAGAUUCAUAUGUGGCCACUAAGACAUAUAGUUAAAUGUGCCUCAGAUCAUACCUUGGUCUUUAACCACUCUUGCAGUAAGUUCUCAUAUGUUGAAAUCCUGACCCCCAAUGUAACUGUACAAAUAGGUCAGGAUCUUUAAGGGAGGUAGGAUCUUUAAAGAGGUACGGUCUUUAAGGGAGUAAUUAAGGUUAAAUGAGAUCAUUGGAUUGGGGCCUUAGUCUAAUAGAACUGCUAACCUUAUAAGAAGAGGAAGAGUCACCAGAAAAGGCCAUGAGACAACCCACUGAGAAGGCACCCCGUUCUAGGGCAGAUGAUAGAAUGAAAUCCAUUGAGAAUUGAGGACCCAUGCCCCCCCCCCCAAAAAAGCUGUUGUAUAUGCUACAAGAAAACUCUUUACCAAACCUGCUAUCCUUCCCCAAAAGGAUAGUUUUAAGGGUUGGCUAGCACAUCUCUUUUUGCAGAAAAUAUGUCUUGGUACCUGGUCCCACACCUACAAUUGUGUAGGACUUCCAACAAGUGUAAGCAGAUCUUAAAUUCCCAGUGCAAACAUCCUCAAAUAGGAUGUCAGCUCUAGCUCAAGCCCAUUAUGGCAAGGGGGAGCCACUACAGGAUCUCAGAUAUUACCUAUGACUCACACCAUAAUAAACAAGCAUCCCCAGCAUGCUGAGAUCUACACAUCAAAGGCACAAGUAUGUCAUUGUGGCACAUUCUGGCUCUACUUGUGCUGAACAUUGAAGCCCAGCUGAAUGCCAAACUCCUUGGGCUUCCUUUCACUCACCCUACUCCAAUUCAAUGCCAAACUCUUCUGUCAUCUACACAUGUUUGGGUAUUCAAUCACUUCACAACUUCCCCAUAAGUAUUUACUCAAUAACAACCACAGGCAAAAAUGACAGAAGACAAAACUGUACCUGUAAAGCUACUUAUAGUCUACAUGUGAUGCAUAUGUGGCCACAUAUGACAUAUAGUCAAAUGUGCCUCAGAUCAUAUCUUGGUUUUCAGUUACUCUUGCAGUAAGUUCUCAAAUGUAGAACUUUGCCUUGAGGUUUUGGCAUUAGCCCAGACCCCACCUUAGGAGUCUCCAUCAUCUACCACAACUCAAGUCUCUAUCCACAAGUCAAUCUCAGAUGACAGCACAGCAACAGGGAUGAAUAUCUUAGCUCAGGAGCCCAAAGUACCCCAAAUGAUGACUUCAGCACAAUUGACUUCAGUUCCAACCCUGUUAUUGACACUACAAGAUGUUCUAUUACCAUAAUUUCAUGCCAGGGCCCAUUAAA